CGGCCGGGCCCGGCGCGGCCGCCGCCUCCUCCCGCUUGCGAGGCGGGCUCCUCCGCUUCUUGCGGGCGCCGGCGCAAGCCGCGGCCCAGCCGUAGCCGAGCAGGAAGAGCAGCAGGAGCCCGAGCGCGCCCAUGCCCACCAGGAUCACCCAGCCCGGGUACCGUUUCGGCUCCAGCCCCAGGUCGAGGCCCAACUCGGUGCGCAGAAAGCCUAGGCCGACCGAGAGCAUUUCCUGCAGCCGGGCUGAGCCCUCCUCGGCCUGCUGGGCCAGCUCGUCCAGCCAGCUCCGUGUAGCCAUCUUCCCUCCCGUCAGGGGCACUCGCAGAAUGACGCCGGGGCGCAGAGACGCCGUGGAACAGUCAAGGGAAGCAAGUUUUUUGGCCGUGAGACAUGUGGGAUCUUAGCUCCCCGACCAGGGAUUGAACCCGCACCCCCUGCAUUGGAAGGUGAAGUCUUAACCACUGGACGGACAGGAGGAUGACAGAAGACAUGUGCAGCAGAGCCAACUCAGAUGAACCAUCCCAGUCAGACAGCCUUGCUGGUCCCAGACAACCCACAGAUGU